UACAGAGGGUGCUAGCGUUGUUCGGAAUCAUUGGGCGUAAAGGGCGCGUAGGCGGCUUAUCAAGUCAGGGGUGAAAUCCGGCAGCUCAACUGUCGAAGUGCCUUUGAUACUGAUGAGCUAGAGGGAGAUAGGGGUAUGCGGAACUUCCGGUGGAGCGGUGAAAUGCGUUGAUAUCGGAAGGAACGCCGGUGGCGAAAGCGGCGUACUGGAUCUCUUCUGACGCUGAGGCGCGAAAGCUAGGGGAGCAAACGGG
rnacentral:rRNA from 1 species